rnacentral:lncRNA from 1 species
UUUUCUAUAUUUAUUGUUUAUAAAUAAUUUCUUAUCUAUAACCAGUGAUAAUGCUCGAAAACUUGAAUUUAGUUUUUUUCAUUGUUGCGUGCGCCGCGAUUGGUAUCGAUCGCAUAACCCUCGGAAAAGCUCGAUAUGACAUUGAUGAGAUGGAGUGGUCAUUAGAGAAAAAGAAAAACUGAUUAAGAAAUGGUCGAAAUAGCGCAAAAGCAUACACAAAAGUAUAUAACGAAAGAAGAAAAGAAGAAGAAAAUUAACGAGUUAGAAGAAUCAGAAGAAAGAUAAAAUAAAAUGAAAAACAAAUCUUUGGAAGCAUAAGAAUUAGGAGUAGAGUCGAGUUUUAAAAAAGAUUAUAUUGUAAGGAUAAACAGCAAAGGUAGAUUGAGCAACUGCGGAUAUCUAUGAGAAAGCCUCUACAAACCAACCAGUGCAUAAAGCUAAAAUUUACUAUCUGAGAAAGAUUUUUCAUAUCAAGAAAGACUAGAGGUGAUUGAAAUUCAAACGGUUCAUCAUUAAGGAACACAAUAAUUCUUAAUAUUCGCUGAAAGCCUCGAUAGACUUAUGCAAAGGUUGCUUUAUUGUUUGCUUGAUUUCGCACGAUAAAGAAAAUACAUUAAACAUGAAUUACGUGAAACUGAAAGAAAGAAUUCUCUCACCUGAGGAAGAACUUUCGUUCAGCUGCCAAAGCGUUUUUGAUGUCUUUACGACCUUCGAUGUCUCUCUGGCUUCUGUUAACUACGCCUAUGUAGCCCCUGCGUAGAGGAAGCAACUUAUUUUCUAAAAUGUCUCUAGCAUCGGUACCAUCAUCCAUAAGAUCAAGUUUGGUGAUGACGCCAAUGAUAUGGAGCGGAGAAAAAAAACGUGGCAGGAAAAAGUAUGAAAAUCACAAUUCAACUCGUCAGGACUCACCGUUGGGCGAAUAUACCCUCAAAUUUAUGGGCACGUUGGAUAUCCCUUUGUUGCUUCCGGUCACGCGAUCCGUCUCCGCUUCUAUUUCCUUCCUGACUUCGUCGAAAUCCACGAAUUUUUUGCCUUUGCAGUGUAGAAAUUCGGCGGAUUCUAGAGAAAAAAAAGACAUGAAAAAAAUCGAUGAAAUUGUGUAAAACAGUGUUGAUUCUUAGAAAAUUUUUAAUUCAUCCAAAGUUCAUAGACCCUUCUUCGGAAGAGUCGAAUCGUUAUCGAAGUUGAACGUUAUCGUUACGGCUCGGAGGAUGCAGGAUGCAAGAUAAAUUUUAAUAAGCGAUAAAUCAGCGAGUCGGGAAAAUUCUGUGUAUCGGUUCGUGUGCUGUAACAUUUCGACUGUAACGUUUCGAACGCCUUUUUCAACUUGCACAUUCAAUUCGAAUCUCUUGUACGUAGCUUGAACUUGGCUCCAUUUAAUUCGUAUCAAAUGAGCUAUAUCGAUAAGAUUAAAAAGGUAAAUUAAUACAAAUUGACAGCGAAGGACACGAGUUUAAUACGAGGGACGUGUAGGGUCCUCUCGGGAUCACAUUUCUUGACCGUAUAAUGAAAUACGUGUCGAGUGAGUUGGCGGUGAGACGCGACAAUUAUUGAUCAUCUAUGGAUCGACGUAUUCUUUCUAGCUGCUCUCAUAAACCUCUCUUCGAUAAGACUUUCGUGCAUUGAUAACUGAUAACUAUGCUUCUCACUAGUCACGCCGUUACUGGAAAUUCUUCAAUUUUUCGUGACUCACCACUGAUGCUGUUGAUUAGCUGUAGAAUGAGUGGUCUUCUGGUAACGAUGCCUGAACCUCGAGGCAAGAAGUCCCUGCGAACAAAUGAACAAUCGUAUUUUUAAUAAAUUCUUUUUUUUCAUAUUCUGCAAAUUAUAAAAUAAAAAUGAGGAGAUUUUCCUACAAGGAACAGGAUUUUUAAGUGAUUUAAUAAAAUCGAAGUUCGUUUUCUCUUCAAUAUUUUUAUGCCUUUUCAAUAAUCUUUUCUUUUAUAGACAGUGAUUCUCGUUGGAAUGUCAAUAAAGUGCGUCAUUUUUUUUUGCACGAAAUAAGCAAUUCCAGAUGCAUGAAUGAUGAGAAGGAAAAAUCAGUAAUUGAAAUAUAAACAACCUUUGAAUGAAAAUUCGAUUAAAAACUUAAAACAUUCGUCAUGAAAUCAAUUAAAUUUUCGUUAAAUGUUCAACAGAAUCAGCAAAUUGAUAGUUGAAACGAAUUUAAUUUUUCUUUUCCGCAAUAGCCAAGAAACACGAAAGUGUGAGGUUUUUUGAGCAUUGAGUUCUUCAUACACUCUUUCUACUCUUCUGUUAGAUACAGUCGAGGAGACACGAGCAAAGAUUCUUGUCAAGAAGAUUGAUCGAAUGAUUUAACAGGUGAUUAUAGAGCAAGCUCGUCUUUAAAGAUGGGAAAAGAAAAAAACUCUCUUGAAGCUUGUGAUGUCAUAACAAUGUAUAUUCUUGCAACGAAUAGGUGUCAGUGUUGUGAUGUCAUUGGUUGUCUCAAGUGCAUCACAACAUGCUAUAAUAUACCUCAACACGAGUCAUUUAUAGUUUGCACUCUGCGUUACUUUGAUUGAGAAUUUUAUUGGCUAUCCCGGCGUUUGAUAUAAAUGCUCUUGAAUGGCUAUGAAUAAAAUUUCAAUAAAUUUGACAAACCCAGAAAUAAAAUGCUUCGCUUCGUGUUAUUAUUUGUGCAAGGAUUUGACUAUUUUGUUACAGCAGCGCUGAAGAUGUUUCCUAUUCCAAAAUUAAAAUUUUGUCAGAACUCUGCCCUGCUAUGUUCAAAAACGUGAAGAUUCAUGUGACAUUGGAGUUUGUUCCGUUGAAAUACAGCAGAAUUCAAUCGUUUUAUUAA